CCUACGGGUGGCAGCAGUGGGGAAUAUUGGACAAUGGGGGGAACCCUGAUCCAGCCAUGCCGCGUGUGUGAAGAAGGCCCUCGGGUUGUAAAGCACUUUCAGUGAGGAAGAACGCCUGGUGGUUAAUACCCAUCAGGAAAGACAUCACUCACAGAAGAAGCACCGGCUAACUCCGUGCCAGCAGCCGCGGUAAUACGGAGGGUGCGAGCGUUAAUCGGAAUUACUGGGCGUAAAGCGCGCGUAGGUGGCUUGAUAAGCCGGUUGUGAAAGCCCCGGGCUCAACCUGGGAACGGCAUCCGGAACUGUCAAGCUAGAGUGCAGGAGAGGAAGGUAGAAUUCCCGGUGUAGCGGUGAAAUGCAUAGAGAUCGGGAGGAAUACCAGUGGCGAAGGCGGCCUUCUGGACUGACACUGACACUGAGGUGCGAAAGCGUGGGUAGCAAACAGGAUUAGAUACCCUUGUAGUC
rnacentral:rRNA from 1 species